GGAGAAAAGGAAGUGGAGCCAGAAUCCACAGAUGUCAUUAUCCAUCUGCACACUUUGUUUACUACCCAGAAGGCAAGAAUAUUGCAUUUUAAAAGUGCCCGGACUUUUGUUCUUUCUUAUCACAAAUGACUUGGGAAGCUCCGACCACUCAUGUUUACCCCGAGUGAAAGUCCCAUUCAAAGCCUUGCUUCCUGGAGAGCUUUGAGAUUCUGGUACAAAAGGCAUUUUAUAAGCACAAAGUGGAAAAGCAUCAUUCAUAUUCAUUUGCUGCUGCGGCAUUUCUCCCUGGAAUCUUCCUCUUGUCUGUCAACAUUGGGCAAAAGGACUGGCCUCAUCUACAUUACAGAUAUCCUUGUGAUGGUCUGGAGGGACCUGUGGGAGAGGCGGCCAUCCAGAGGGCUCUCUGAGGGGUCAUUUAGAAUGCAACUCUUCUGGGCAGAGGAUGGUCUGCACUGGCCUCCACCACGCAGGAAGGCUUCCAGAGUGGAGAAAUGUCCACUAACAUGGCUUCUGUGAGGUAUCAUUCUGAUCAUUGUUGUUACAGGAGAGAUGAGAGGAAGUUAGAGGGGCUAGAAGAACCAGGAGAC
rnacentral:lncRNA from 1 species